GUAUAGUUAAGUGACUAAGCGUACAAGGUGGAUGCCUUGGCAAUCAGAGGCGAAGAAGGACGUGCUAAUCUGCGAAAAGCUUGGAUGAGUCGAUAAGAGGCGUUUAAUCCAAGAUAUCCGAAUGGGGAAACCCAGUAGAUGAAGAAUCUACUAUCAACAAGUGAAUUCAUAGCUUGUUGAGGCAAACCGGGAGAACUGAAACAUCUAAGUACCCCGAGGAAAAGAAAUCAACCGAGAUUUCGUCAGUAGCGGCGAGCGAAAGCGAAAGAGCCAGUAAGUGAUAACAGUAUGGUUAGGAGAAUGUGUUGGGAAGCACAAUCAAAGAGGGUGAUAAUCCCGUAUCUAAAAACCAUAUUGUGGUACUAAGCUAACGAGAAGUAGGGCGGGACACGUGAUAUCCUGUUUGAAGAAGGGGGGACCAUCCUCCAAGGCUAAAUACUCCUGAUUGACCGAUAGUGAACCAGUACUGUGAAGGAAAGGCGAAAAGAACCCCGGUGAGGGGAGUGAAAUAGAACCUGAAACCUUGUACGUACAAGCAGUGGGAGCCUGAAAGGGUGACUGCGUACCUUUUGUAUAAUGGGUCAGCGACUUAUAUUUUGUAGCGAGGUUAACCGAAUAGGGGAGCCGAAGGGAAACCGAGUCUUAACUGGGCGAAGAGUUGCAAGGUAUAGACCCGAAACCCGGUGAUCUAGCCAUGGGCAGGUUGAAGGUUGGGUAACACUAACUGGAGGACCGAACCGACUAAUGUUGAAAAAUUAGCGGAUGACUUGUGGCUGGGGGUGAAAGGCCAAUCAAACCGGGAGAUAGCUGGUUCUCCCCGAAAUCUAUUUAGGUAGAGCCUUGAGGUGACACCUUUGGGGGUAGAGCACUGUUUCGGCUAGGGGGCCAUCCCGGCUUACCAACCCGAUGCAAACUACGAAUACCAAAGAGUGAUACUCAGGAGACACACGGCGGGUGCUAACGUCCGUCGUGGAGAGGGAAACAACCCAGACCGCCAGCUAAGGUCCCCAAGUCUAUAUUAAGUGGGAAACGAAGUGGGAAGGCUUAGACAGCUAGGAUGUUGGCUUAGAAGCAGCCAUCAUUUAAAGAAAGCGUAAUAGCUCACUAGUCGAGUCGGCCUGCGCGGAAGAUGUAACGGGGCUGAAAUAUAGCACCGAAGCUGCGGCAUCAGGCGUAUCACUAAUACGCCUUACGAUUAACAAGCUAGAAUGGUGCGAAGCGACAUGAAAGGUUGUUCAAGCAACCCGAACGUUGAGUCGGGCAUCUUAGAGUGAGGAUUAUUAGUGAUACGCCUGUUGGGUAGGGGAGCGUUGUGUAAGCGGAAGAAGGUUCAUCGAGAGGUGGGCUGGACGUAUCACAAGUGCGAAUGCUGACAUAAGUAACGAUAAAACGGGUGAAAAACCCGUUCGCCGGAAGACCAAGGGUUCCUGUCCAACGUUAAUCGGGGCAGGGUGAGUCGGCUCCUAAGGCGAGGCUGAAAAGCGUAGUCGAUGGGAAACAGGUUAAUAUUCCUGUACUUGGUAAAGCUGCGAUGUGGGGACGGAGUAGGUUAGGUUAUCGCACUGUUGGAUAUGUGCGUUUAAGUUGGUAGGUGGGAAGUUUAGGCAAAUCCGGACUUCCUUAACACAGAGAGAUGAUGACGAGGCUCUACGGAGCUGAAGUAACUGAUACCACACUUCCAGGAAAAGCCACUAAGCGAAAGGCUUUACUAAACCGUACUGAAAACCGACACAGGUGGUCAGGUAGAGAAUACUCAGGCGCUUGAGAGAACUCGGGUGAAGGAACUAGGCAAAAUAGCACCGUAACUUCGGGAGAAGGUGCGCCGGCGUAGAUUGUAAGGGCUAGCCCCUGAAGGUUGAACCGGUCGAAGAUACCAGCUGGCUGCAACUGUUUAUUAAAAACACAGCACUCUGCAAACACGAAAGUGGAGGUAUAGGGUGUGAUGCCUGCCCGGUGCUGGAAGGUUAAUUGAUGGUGUAAUCGCAAGAGAAGCACCUGAUCGAAGCCCCAGUAAACGGCGGCCGUAACUAUAACGGUCCUAAGGUAGCGAAAUUCCUUGUCGGGUAAGUUCCGACCUGCACGAAUGGCAUAAUGAUGGCCAGGCUGUCUCCACCCGAGACUCAGUGAAAUUGAAAUCGCCGUGAAGAUGCGGUGUACCCGCGGCUAGACGGAAAGACCCCGUGAACCUUUACUAUAGCUUGACACUGAACAUUGAAUUUUGAUGUGUAGGAUAGGUGGGAGCCUUUGAAGCAGUGACGCCAGUCAUUGUGGAGGCGACCUUGAAAUACCACCCUUUAACGUUUGAUGUUCUAACGAAGAUGACGAAACGUGGUCUCGGACAGUGUCUGGUGGGUAGUUUGACUGGGGCGGUCUCCUCCCAAAGCGUAACGGAGGAGCACGAAGGUUUGCUAAUCACGGUCGGACAUCGUGAGGUUAGUGCAAUGGUAUAAGCAAGCUUAACUGCGAGACAGACAAGUCGAGCAGGUACGAAAGUAGGUCAUAGUGAUCCGGUGGUUCUGAAUGGAAGGGCCAUCGCUCAACGGAUAAAAGGUACUCCGGGGAUAACAGGCUGAUACCGCCCAAGAGUUCAUAUCGACGGCGGUGUUUGGCACCUCGAUGUCGGCUCAUCACAUCCUGGGGCUGAAGUAGGUCCCAAGGGUAUGGCUGUUCGCCAUUUAAAGUGGUACGCGAGCUGGGUUUAGAACGUCGUGAGACAGUUCGGUCCCUAUCUGCCGUGGGCGUAGGAUGAUUGAUUGGGGCUGCUCCUAGUACGAGAGGACCGGAGUGGACGCAUCACUGGUGUUCCAGUUGUCUCGCCAGAGGCAUUGCUGGGUAGCUAAGUGCGGAAGAGAUAAGUGCUGAAAGCAUCUAAGCACGAAACUUGCCAAGAGAUGAGUCAUCCCUGACUUUAAGUCAGUAAGGGUUGUUGUAGACUACGACGUAGAUAGGUCAGGUGUGUAAGUGUAGUGAUACAUUGAGCUAACAGAUACUAAUUGCCCGAGAGGC
rnacentral:rRNA from 1 species